CAUGAAGUCGGAAUUGCUAGUAAUCGCGGAUCAGCAUGCCGCGGUGAAUACGUUCCCGGGCCUUGUACACACCGCCCGUCACACCAUGGGAGCCGGUAAUACCCGAAGUCUGUGACCCAACCUACGGGAGGGAGCAGCCGAAGGCAGGUCGGAUGACUGGGGUGAAGUCGUAACAAGGUAUC
rnacentral:rRNA from 1 species